AGCCUAGCCACGAGGACUGACCCGAUGGAGCAGAUGCAGCUCAGGCAGGAACAACAGGAACUCCACAAGAAAGCCAAGGAAUGAUAUUUGUCCUUUUCUGGCUCAAGGAGGGUGAAGAGGGUGGACCUGGCACAAAUAGCUUGCAAUCACACGUGCAGCCUUUGAACUGCUUGAUUACAGACAUCAGCCCAUUUUAAAGCAGUAUAGAGUGAUACUCAAAGCCAACCUGGCUCAGAUUCCCAGCUGUUCCACUUACAGCAUCGAGAGAUGCAGCCCUUGGCAUGCUCUGUGCAGACCAAGGGACAAUGGGAGCUGCAGCUGCAGCAAUUCUGCAGGAAGUGUACCUUACAUACUGCAUCUUCCGGCAAUCUAAACAAGAGCAGGACCCUGCCCUGGGGCAGAAAUACACACACACACACACAAAGGCAGUAGCUAUCAUUGACACAGAGGCAGCGGGGAUCCACUCCCAACCUGUCAAUCAAGAGCCAAAGGUAUCAACAAAAGGCAAUCAGCUUUCUGGAAAGUGUGUCAAUAUCUUUAUAGUAAAGCAUGAGGCACAAGCUUGCAAGGAAACAAAGCACACAUAGAAUCAAUGUUCAAGACACAAGAAGAGCAAGAACAGAGCUCCAACUGUAGUAGCCCGCCGACUACUGAGAAAGAUUUUGAGGAUACUCCACUCUCCCUGGCACAAAUCUCAUCACUGAAGUCACUCAUUCUAUGGAAUGACUCAUUCUAGGAUUUCUAAGCCCAGGUCUUUGAAAUACUGGCAGCCUCUGUUUGGAUGCCUUAGAACCCAGCUACCACACUGUAAAGAGACCUGCAGGUUGAGAUGCUACACGGAGGGAAGAGCCUCAGCUAACGGUCAUCAUCAAAGCCCCAACCUUGCAGCUCCAGACAGACGCCAGACUUGAUUUUUCUCACAAAAUUCUUCGUGGAGAUGAAGAUUUACUUCCCAAACGUUCACUGAGCUUAUCCGUGGACAUGACAGCCAUUCAUCACAUUGCAAGCUCUUGGAGGAGAGGACCAUCUCUUUUUCUAAACAACCAAAGUACCUUUAAAAUGGAUGAACUGUGACAGAGGCCGGCAACACCAGGAUAAUCGCAGAACUGAUUUCUGAAAAGACCUGAGUUAAUAGUGAAGAGUGUAUAGGAACUACAAAGUGAUAUACACAAUUUGGUUAUUAUUUCUUUACAUUGAUUUUUGUUUUUUAUUUUUGUUUUGUUUUGUUUUCUUUUCUUCUAGAGACUGGAUCUCUGAUAUAACACGGACUGACCUGGAACUAGCUAUGUUAGUCCAGACUGACCUUGAACUCACAAUCAUCCUGCCUUGAUCUCCUAAGUAUAUUUAACCCCUUAAAUACAGUUAUUUCCAGCUUGAGUAUGGUGGCACUCACUAGUAAUCCCAGCAUGUAAGAAGACGGAAGUGGUAGGACUGAGAGUUCAGGCCACCUGAGCCACAUAAUAAAUUCAAGGUCAACCUGGGCAAUUUGACUAGACCCUGUCUGCAACAAACUACUAAAUAAAAGCAGUUUGUUAAUUUAUUCCUUAGUUUACUAACUCUCCAACCCCACUCCUGGGCAAAUUUACAGAUGCUCUAAAAAAAUUUUUUUAAAUAGGGACUGGAAAGAUGGCUAGUGAUUAAGAACGCUGGCUGCCCUUACAGAGGAUCCAGGUUUAUUCCCAGCAUCCACAGGGCAGUUCACGAGCAUCUAUGACUCCAGUUCUAAGUGACUCGAUGGCCAUAGGUGUACCAACAUUCAUGUGGGUAAAUUACCCAUACACAUAAGCUUUUUAAAAGACUAAGUAUAAAGGAUAAAAUACAGGUAAGAAAUUAGGGCAAAAGUAAACAAUGAUAUGUUAAUGAUAUAUGAAUUUGUAACUUGAUUGCCACAUACCUUGGCUUUUUAUCUUAACUUUGCAAAGCCAAGGUCCAGUGCAUUGUUCUUAUUUCAACAGUGACUGUCUCUAAGCAGUAUUGUCAUUUGCCAUAAAUAGUUCACCAUCAGUGCCAAGGAGCAAUGAAAUAUGUUUAACUGGAAAACUAUAGUUUUGUUGUUAAUAGACGGCCCAGAUUUCACUGUACAUUCAAUUAAUUUCACUUGAUAGAAAGCAUCUAGGUUGAAGGUGGAGGAAAAGAGAAAAAAAAAUCCCAGUUCCUCCCUACAUGGGCUAAAUUGGUCUGUUUAGGCUGGGACUGGUCUCAUUGUAUAUAUGGUGAUCAAAUGGUAGAGAACAGGAGGCAUCUAGAGCUACAAAGCCAAUUUCAGACCUCUGGCCCUGUCACUUUUAUACUCUGAGGUCACCUCUCCCAGACUCAUGGGUAAAAUAAUGGUACCCACAACAGGAGCUCAUUGUAGGAAUUAAACAAGACAGGCAGCGCUGCCCACAGCGCAUCUUCCUAAACAUUGCCUAUGGCCAUCACUGCCAUGGAGAGGGUGCUAGGGAAGGAGCUUUGGAUUUUAGGUAGCCGUCAUUUUAUUAUAGGUUGGGGUGAAUUAGGAACUAUUAACUAAGAUGCUUUGUAGGAUGAAGGUGACACUCGGAGUUUGAAAAUUAUUAAUGUGCUUUUCUUUUUAGCCUGCCGGGAUACAUGGUUCUCACCCUAGUCUUCCCGAGACAUCCUUCUGCCUUGAGAGAUAAAAGUGUAACAGAGAAAAGCCAAGAGGAAAAUCCAGCUUCUGGUGCUCAAAAAUAGGACUUUCCUGCGCCUCUCAAGUUUUGCAAGUCAGCAGAGAGGCUUACGUGUCUCGUCUAGCUGUGUGAGCAGUUGUCAAGGUCCAGGGUAGGAUAAAGAAAAGGAGGCAAGCCAUCACCUAAAUACGGGUCACAGUUUCCUGCAGCCUUUGUGUCUCCCAGGAAAGAACUUGGAGCUGUGAGCAACCAGCAGAGCAGUCACACUCAUUCCAUUGCUUAGCCGAGGUCAGACAGGGGGAGUCAGGAAAUUCAAGCAUAUUAGAUGAUCCCCGGUAUCCAACAGGCUGCCGAAAACUUGCUGUGAUUAGGUGAGCAUGACCAAAAAUGCUGUUAUUAUACUUAAGGAAAAGACUAAGCAGAAUUAACACGCUCCUGCUUUAUGAAUUUCAAGAUCCUUUAUUAAAAUUAUAUCUCAUAUUACUCGCCAAUAAAAAUAAUAAAGUCUUGUUA